UACGGGAGGCAGCAGUGGGGAAUAUUGCACAAUGGGCGCAAGCCUGAUGCAGCCAUGCCGCGUGUAUGAAGAAGGCCUUCGGGUUGUAAAGUACUUUCAGUCGUGAGGAAGGUGUUAAGGUUAAUAACCUUAGCAAUUGACGUUAGCGACAGAAGAAGCACCGGCUAACUCCGUGCCAGCAGCCGCGGUAAUACGGAGGGUGCGAGCGUUAAUCGGAAUUACUGGGCGUAAAGGGCACGCAGGCGGUUAAUUAAGUUGGAUGUGAAAUCCCCGGGCUUAACCUGGGAAUGGCAUUCAAGACUGGUUAGCUAGAGUCUUGUAGAGGGGGUAGAAUUCCAUGUGUAGCGGUGAAAUGCGUAGAGAUGUGGAGGAAUACCGGGUGGCGAAGGCGGCCCCUGGGACAAAGCUGACGCUCAUGCGCGAAAGCGUGGGGAGCAAACAGGAUUAGAUACC
rnacentral:rRNA from 1 species